GACAGAGGAUGCAAGUGUUAUUCGGAAUGAUUGGGCGUAAAGAGUCUGUAGGCGGUUUAGAAAGUCUUUUGUGAAAUACUUCAGCUCAACUGAGGCUCCGCAAAAGAAACUUCUAGACUUGAGGAAAGUAGAGGUACAGGGAAUUUCCGGUGGAGCGGUGAAAUGCGUAGAUAUCGGAAGGAACACCAAUAUGGCGAAGGCACUGUACUGGGCUUUUCCUGACGCUAAGAGACGAAAGCUGAAGGAGUGAUUAGGAUUAGAUACCCUAGUAAUUUCAGCCGUAAACGAUGAAAACUCACUGUCGAGCCAAUAUAUGGAGCGGUGGUCAAGCUAACGCGUGAAGUUUUCCGCCUGGGGAUUACGCUUGCAAAAGUGAAACUCAAAGGAAUUGACGGGGACCCGCACAAGCGGUGGAGUAUGUGGUUUAAUUCGAUGCAACGCGAAAAACCUUACCAGGGUUUGAAAUAAUUUCAAAACUUCUUGAAAGAGAAGCCUCCUUCGGGAUGGAAUUACAGGUGGUGCAUGGCUGUCGUCAGCUCGUGUUGUGAAAUGUCAAGUUAAGUCUUGUAACGAGCGCAACCCAUGUCUCUUGUUGCUGUUUACAGUGCUUAAGAGAAGCUGCCGAUCAACAUCGGAGGAAGGUGUGGAUGAUGUCAAGUCAGCAUGCCCCUUACAUCCUGGGCUACACACGUACUACAAUGGUCGAGACAAAGGGUCGCUAACCUGCAAAGGCAUGCCAAUCUCAUAAACUCGAUCUCAGUUCGGAUUGUACUCUGCAACUCGAGUACAUGAAGGUGGAAUCGCUAGUAAUC
rnacentral:rRNA from 1 species